UUACUGCAUAUCCUUUUGGAAUAAAGCUUCUGAAACUGCUCCCUCAAAGAUCACCAAUGACCUGCAAAACUGCAAAUCAAACAGAUACACUAGCCGCCACCGCCCUUCUUCUGGUAACUGUCCCCUACCUUGGUAUCGGUAAUAACCCACUUCUCCUGGUUCACCAUCAUCACGGACCAGAUGGCAAAAGUUGGCAGAAUGAUUGGAUCAGAUACUUUGGUCUGAAAAGAUCACUUAAAUAUUAGACCACCUGAACAAAAGAAAAACUCUAGAAGGCAAAAGAAAGCAGUCGUUCAGAUUCUCUUCACACCCCUCUGACCCUGGAGAAAUCUCUCCUACGCAGCCACCAUCUGUGUGAGCCGCAUCUUUCAUCUAACUUCAUAAACAAAAAAAUGAGCAUCGGAAGACAGCCAUUUGGCACAGCUCUCUGGCUGCUGCUCUUACAAACAUUGAGAUUGCAAAUUUUAAACACAGUCUCUUGAUUUUCUAUCGAAAGCCCAGACUUGGGCACUUGAACCAUCAUAUCUUAAAAAAAAGGAAAAAGAAAAAGAAAGAAAAAACUUAAUACCCAUCCUGACCCUACCAAUAAAUAGAAUGCUGAACUCUUUGAGCC
rnacentral:lncRNA from 1 species